CGAAGAACUUCUAUUUAAUUUCUGUAUUUUUCUUUUUCAUUAUCGUCGGUAAAGUUUAAUGGAUUCUGCUUGUUGAGUUUGGUUCGUCAAUUAUUUCUUAUUUCUUUGGACGUGGAUGCUGUUGUGCUGUGUAAGAUUUUAAGAUUUUAGGGUUCGUAUCUUCAUUUUGGUCUUAGAGAGGUUUUUUUCCUUUAAAGAGAGAGGGCGCUGCUGAUUGAUGUAAAUGAACCCAAGUUUUAUGUGAUUUUAUUGGGUUAAAACAUGGACUAGCAAAGAUAUUGAUAAUUCCGGAUUAAAUUGAGUCCUGUGUUUUCCAUAUAGGAUAAUAGGAAUAUUUCUUUCUAUUAUGGUGCAUAUGGUAUAUGCGUGGUUUGUAUGACUAGCUCGCAUUCAGAAUGCCGAGCCUAAACAAGUUUUUCAUAUAUUUGUGGGUUACAUAAUAUGUUAUUUUCUUUUUUGUUUUUUCCCGAGAAUUUUAGGAAAAUGGUGAUUGAUGGUAAACAUGGAUGGAUAUUGAAGUCUGUGUGCUGACAAUUUAAUAUUGUUUUUCUUUUUCUUUUGGGUACAUAGAAAGGGGAAGGAAUAAUGGAUUUUAGGCUUUUAGAAAGUAAGUUUUCGUUAUAUUUAAACAAUCGUCUAUUGAUGGUCAGUAUGUUACUGUAUGUAGAUUUUCUAUACUAGUCAGCUUUACAUGAUUUUAUCAAUCAUGUUGUGAACAAGGACUUGUGGACUCGAAGCCUGGCAAUAUAUUAGUUGUUGUUUCUCAGAUUCUCACAACUUGGAGUUCUAAUGGUUGCUGAAGCUCUAGCUUUCUCUUUCUCUUUUCUUUGCUUUAGUACACAAGCACACAGAGGCGUGUUUUAACAUGAAUUGCAUAUCAUGACAGUCCAUUUUGUCUAUCAUUUUUGGCUGUUUUUAUUUGGUGGUUCACCAACAUAGAUCGAAGUUCUUGUCCUUUGUUAGUUAUUCAGUAAUUAACCUGGUGUGGGGUGUUGGUUAGAAUUAGGUUGCAUUCAUCAUUGUUAUUCUGUGUUAAUGUAGAUUCAUUUGCGUUAUUGACCAUUAUUAUAUUUUCCUAAAAUUCAUCUGGUGGUGAUAAAAAUAUGUAUUUUUAUUGUCUCUUAACCUUGGAAAGCGGAUCACCAUUUAAAGCAUGGUUAUUUCUAGAUAUUACCAGGAGAAAGAUUUUGGGAUUUAGUAGCUCACUGUUUGCUUCUUAAGGCAUCAACAAUUUCAACAAGUAGCAUGGCACUUCAAACAGCCUUUUCUAGAAUUUUAAGUCUUGAGAUUUUUGACUAUUUAUAUGUUGCAGACAGAUUGAGCGCUAACAAGUUUGUGAUGCAA